rnacentral:lncRNA from 12 species
CCCUUGAUAGAAGUUCUUACGUCACCGAAGCAGAGCCUGUGUUGGCCGGGGUCCCCUAGGGGGCAGCAGAGUAGCACCUGCCAUCUACUUGGCAGUUACUGAAGGAGUCCUGGGAUUGCUGGGAAGCCCAGCCUGAGAGAAAGACCAGAAGACAGGAGUAGGAAAGUAUCAGGAUGUCAGAAUCCAGGAAACAUAUGCAGGGUUCUUAAGAGAAUGAAGACUAACUUGGUUUGGAGAAAAUUGGGAGAUUUUAUUAACUGGUUGAAGCCAGAAAGCCCCAAGGGAAACAAGCAAUAAGAGCCCUCCCUCACUUUGCUACAACAUUACAAGGUUCAGCUUACAACUGACCAGGUUCUGCUGCAAGGGAGGCUCCUAAGCCAGUUGCUCAGGACAUAAGCAGUAUCAUCUGAGGCUCCUUGGAGGUCAGCAUGAUUCGAGAGGAAUUUGAAGAUAUGCCCCAUGGUGCCUGUAAACUCAAAGAGUGAAAGCCAGCAUUCUCAGCUCUGACAAGAAGUCUAGAGUGUCCACCUCGAGGAGGUGCUUCUCCACCUAGAUUUCUAUCUCAGGUGCCAACUUUCUGGAGUCUGAGCUAGCUCCAGCAUGACUGUCCUAACCAUGCAGAUACUGAC